rfam:Myotis davidii contig83013, whole genome shotgun sequence.
GGCAGUUCUUGGGUGAUGCACCCUGGAAUUGGGCUCCUUCCUUUCUAGUUUGGGGGUGCAUCACCGGAGAAUUGCU